UGUCAAGCUUCCACACAUACCGAAUAAAUCUUUCGCCUUUUACUAAAGAUUCCUGUGUACAUGGUGGGAAACAAUUGAGACUAAAUCUUCCAGCUACCUUUAGGUAGCU